rnacentral:tRNA from 1 species
GCGGAAGUGGCGGAACUGGCAGACGCGCUGGAUUCAGGUUCCAGUGGCCGAAAGGUCGUGGAGGUUCGAGUCCUCUCUUCCGCA